AUACGUAGGUGGCGAGCGUUGUCCGGAAUUACUGGGCGUAAAGGGCGUGUAGGCGGAUAUUUAAGUCAGGUGUGUAAUCUACGAGCUUAACUUGUAGCUUGCAUUUGAUACUGGAUAUCUUGAGUGCAGGAGAGGGCAGUGGAAUUCCUAGUGUAGCGGUGAAAUGCGUAGAUAUUAGGAGGAACACCAGUGGCGAAGGCGGCUGCCUGGACUGUAACUGACGCUGAGGCGCGAAAGCGUGGGGAGCAAACAGGAUUAGAUACCCUGGUAGUCCACGCCGUAAACGAUGGGUACUAGGUGUAGGGGGUAUCGACCCCUUCUGUGCCGGAGUUAACACAAUAAGUACCCCGCCUGGGGAGUACGGCCGCAAGGCUGAA
rnacentral:rRNA from 1 species